AGGCAUUGAGGCAGCCAGCGCAGGGGCUUCUGCUGAGGGGGCAGGCGGAGCUUGAGGAAACCGCAGAUAAGUUUUUUUCUCUUUGAAAGAUAGAGAUUAAUACAACUACUUAAAAAAUAUAGUCAAUAGGUUACUAAGAUAUUGCUUAGCGUUAAGUUUUUAACGUAAUUUUAAUAGCUUAAGAUUUUAAGAGAAAAUAUGAAGACUUAGAAGAGUAGCAUGAGGAAGGAAAAGAUAAAAGGUUUCUAAAACAUGACGGAGGUUGAGAUGAAGCUUCUUCAUGGAGUAAAAAAUGUAUUUAAAAGAAAAUUGAGAGAAAGGACUACAGAGCCCCGAAUUAAUACCAAUAGAAGGGCAAUGCUUUUAGAUUAAAAUGAAGGUGACUUAAACAGCUUAAAGUUUAGUUUAAAAGUUGUAGGUGAUUAAAAUAAUUUGAAGGCGAUCUUUUAAAAAGAGAUUAAACCGAAGGUGAUUAAAAGACCUUGAAAUCCAUGACGCAGGGAGAAUUGCGUCAUUUAAAGCCUAGUUAACGCAUUUACUAAACGCAGACGAAAAUGGAAAGAUUAAUUGGGAGUGGUAGGAUGAAACAAUUUGGAGAAGAUAGAAGUUUGAAGUGGAAAACUGGAAGACAGAAGUACGGGAAGGCGAAGAAAAGAAUAGAGAAGAUAGGGAAAUUAGAAGAUAAAAACAUACUUUUAGAAGAAAAAAGAUAAAUUUAAACCUGAAAAGUAGGAAGCAGAAGAAAAAAGACAAGCUAGGAAACAAAAAGCUAAGGGCAAAAUGUACAAACUUAGAAGAAAAUUGGAAGAUAGAAACAAGAUAGAAAAUGAAAAUAUUGUCAAGAGUUUCAGAUAGAAAAUGAAAAACAAGCUAAGACAAGUAUUGGAGAAGUAUAGAAGAUAGAAAAAUAUAAAGCCAAAAAUUGGAUAAAAUAGCACUGAAAAAAUGAGGAAAUUAUUGGUAACCAAUUUAUUUUAAAAGCCCAUCAAUUUAAUUUCUGGUGGUGCAGAAGUUAGAAGGUAAAGCUUGAGAAGAUGAGGGUGUUUACGUAGACCAGAACCAAUUUAGAAGAAUACUUGAAGCUAGAAGGGGAAGUUGGUUAAAAAUCACAUCAAAAAGCUACUAAAAGGACUGGUGUAAUUUAAAAAAAACUAAGGCAGAAGGCUUUUGGAAGAGUUAGAAGAAUUUGGAAGGCCUUAAAUAUAGUAGCUUAGUUUGAAAAAUGUGAAGGACUUUCGUAACGGAAGUAAUUCAAGAUCAAGAGUAAUUACCAACUUAAUGUUUUUGCAUUGGACUUUGAGUUAAGAUUAUUUUUUAAAUCCUGAGGACUAGCAUUAAUUGACAGCUGACCCAGGUGCUACACAGAAGUGGAUUCAGUGAAUCUAGGAAGACAGCAGCAGACAGGAUUCCAGGAACCAGUGUUUGAUGAAGCUAGGACUGAGGAGCAAGCGAGCAAGCAGCAGUUCGUGGUGAAGAUAGGAAAAGAGUCCAGGAGCCAGUGCGAUUUGGUGAAGGAAGCUAGGAAGAAGGAAGGAGCGCUAACGAUUUGGUGGUGAAGCUAGGAAAAAGGAUUCCAGGAAGGAGCGAGUGCAAUUUGGUGAUGAAGGUAGCAGGCGGCUUGGCUUGGCAACCACACGGAGGAGGCGAGCAGGCGUUGUGCGUAGAGGAUCCUAGACCAGCAUGCCAGUGUGCCAAGGCCACAGGGAAAGCGAGUGAAACUUUGUCUGCGAACACUCUUUAAUGGACCAGAUCAGGAUUUGAGCGGAAGAACGAAUGUAACUUUAAGAGGCAUUUCAUCCUUCAUGAAGCCAUUCAGGAUUUUGAAUUGCAUAUGAGUGCUUGGCUCUUCCUUCUGUUCUAACUUCACAGAGAAUGCAGUUGUCUUGACUUCAGGUCUGUCUGUUCUGUUGGCAAGUAAAUGCAGUACUGUUCUGAUCCCGCUGCUAUUAGAAUGCAUUGUGAAACGACUGGAGUAUGAUUAAAAGUUGUGUUCCCCAA
rnacentral:lncRNA from 1 species